AUGGCCUGGACUCCUGUCCCCCUCAUGCUCCUCUCUCACUACACAGGCUCCCUGUCCCAGCCCGUGCUGACCCAGCCACCCUCCCUCUCUGCAGCUCCUGGAACAACAGACAGAGUCACCUGCACCCUGAGCAGCGGCUUCAGUGUUGGCGGCUCUAACAUCUACUGGUACCAGCAGCAGCCAGGGAGCCCUCCCCGGUAUCUCUUGUACUACAAGUCAGAUAAGUACCAAGGCCCUGGGGUCCCCAGCCGCUUCUCUGGAUCCAGAGAUGCCUCGGCCAAUGCAGCAGCUCAUCUCUGGGCUGCAGGCUGAGGACGAUGCUGCCCGUUACU